CCUACGGGUGGCAGCAGUGAGGAAUAUUGGUCAAUGGGCGCGAGCCUGAACCAGCCAAGUCGCGUGAGGGAAGACGGUCCUAUGGAUUGUAAACCUCUUUUGUCGGGGAGCAAAAGACGCCACGCGUGGCGUUCCGAGAGUACCCGAAGAAAAAGCAUCGGCUAACUCCGUGCCAGCAGCCGCGGUAAUACGGAGGAUGCGAGCGUUAUCCGGAUUUAUUGGGUUUAAAGGGUGCGCAGGGGGAAGAUCAAGUCAGCGGUAAAAGUGCGAGGCGCAACCUCUGCGAGCCGUUGAAACUGGUGUCCUUGGGUGGGUGAGAAGUAGACGGAAUGGGUGGUGUAGCGGGGAAA
rnacentral:rRNA from 1 species